rnacentral:rRNA from 1 species
CGCGUAGGCGGCCUGCUAAGUCUGGAGUGAAAGUCCUGCUUUCAAGGUGGGAAUUGCUUUGGAUACUGGUGGGCUGGAGUGCAGGAGAGGAAAGCGGAAUUACCGGUGUAGCGGUGAAAUGCGUAGAGAUCGGUAGGAACACCAGUGGCGAAGGCGGCUUUCUGGACUGAAACUGACACUGAGGCUCGAAAGCGUGGGGAGCAAACA